CUCCUCUUGAACCAUAAGAGGUACCGUCUGCUCAAUGCAAUUUGUAAAUAGCCGCAGUAUUCUGACUGUGCUAAGGUAGCAUAAUCAUUAGUCUUUUAAUUGAAGGCUGGUAUGAAUGACGAGACGAGAAAAUAUCUGUCUCUAUAACAAAUAUUGAAUUUUAUUUUUAAGUGAAAAAGCUUAAAUAAUUUUGAAGGACGAUCAGACCCUUUGGAGCUUUAUUUAUUUUCUAGUUUAAAUUAGUUUAAGAUGAUUGAAUAAAAAAUAAAUUUUGUUGGGGCGACAGGGAGUAAAAAAUAACACUCUUUUUUAAAAACAAUUUUAAUUGGAAAAUUGAUCCUUAAAGAGAGAUUAAAAGACUAAGUUACCCUAGGGAUAACAGCGUAAUCUUUUUGGAGAGUUCAAAUCGAUAAAAAGGUUUGCGACCUCGAUGUUGGAUUAAGAGAUUAGCAAGGUGCAGAAGUUUUGUUGGAGAGUGCUGUUCGACUCU
rnacentral:rRNA from 1 species